UUUAUCAAUGAGGAAAAUAUAUAAUAAAUUAAAUUUACAGAAAUUUUCUUUGUCUUAAUAAUUCCAGCAAAAUUCGCAAAGGCAUUUUAAAGACAUUCGUGAAAUAAGUUGACCGGGAACCUAUAGCGGCUCGUCGUCAAUGUAUUGCUGAACAAGGAGGGCGAUUGAGAAAAAUAUAAUCGGGAUUCAUUCAGGAUCGGAUUGCUAUUUUUUUCAAAUUUGCAAAUAGCGCUCUAGCGCUGUUCACAAAUCCACCAAUAUGAUAGCAAAGAUCCAUAACUUUGAAAGAAGAAAGUUGCGGUUGAUUGUUAUUUUGAGGAGCUAGACUGUUUUUACUAUAUACACUAUAUCGGAGCUAUUAAAAAUCGCUGUAAAACAAAACAAUUUUUUUUUGAUAUUCUUUUUAUUGAAUUUUUCAUAUAUGAAAAUAACAAAGAGUUUACAAAUCUCAAUUUAAUUUAA